rnacentral:rRNA from 1 species
UGUCCAGGGGGCCGCCUUCGCCACCGGUAUUCCUCCAGAUCUCUACGCAUUUCACCGCUACACCUGGAAUUCUACCCCCCUCUACAAGACUCUAGCCUGCCAGUUUCGGAUGCAGUUCCCAGGUUGAGCCCGGGGAUUUCACAUCCGACUUGACAGACCGCCUGCGUGCGCUUUACGCCCAGUAAUUCCGAUUAACGCUUGCACCCUCCGUAUUACCGCGGCUGCUGGCACGGAGUUAGCCGGUGCUUCUUCUGCGAGUAACGUCAAUUGCUGAGGUUAUUAACCACAACACCUUCCUCCUCGCUGAAAGUACUUUACAACCCGAAGGCCUUCUUCAUACACGCGGCAUGGCUGCAUCAGGCUUGCGCCCAUUGUGCAAUAUUCCCCACUGCUGCCUCCCGUAGGAGUCUGGACCGUGUCUCAGUUCCAGUGUGGCUGGUCAUCCUCUCAGACCAGCUAGGGAUCGUCGCCUAGGUGAGCCGUUACCCCACCUACUAGCUAAUCCCAUCUGGGCACAUCCGAUGGCAAGAGGCCCGAAGGUCCCCCUCUUUGGUCUUGCGACGUUAUGCGGUAUUAGCUACCGUUUCCAGUAGUUAUCCCCCUCCAUCGGGCAGUUUCCCAGACAUUACUCACCCGUCCGCCACUCGUCACCCAAGGAGCAAGCUCCUCUGUGCUACCGUUCGACUUGCAUGUGUUAGGCCUGCCGCCA